CAGUGUAUUUCAGUUGUUUAAGGCAAUAUUGUCUCCGUUGAUCUGGGAAGAGGAUUCCAUGGCGAUACAACAGGAAAAGGGACUGUCUGAAUUGCCAAGGCAGGGAAUGAACAAGCUACAGCAACAUUAACAUACAACAUCAUUAACCACAAACACACUCUAAUCAUGCUCCAGCCAUUGCUGUUCGGCCAUGGCCACACGUACAGAGCUGCACAGAAAUCCCUCUCUCCAGGGCUGUGCUGUGCAGAAGAAGAAGAACCACGUCCAGUUGGGGUUCAGGAAUCUGAUGAGCAAAGGUAACUUGGUGCAGGCUAAAGUCACCAGCACUUUGGCUCCUUCACAUUCAGCCAGCAGCUGGGCCCCCAGGACAAGGCAUGAGAAGAAGACAGUGGCUGUGAGCAGGAAAAUAGCCCCCAAGAAGCUGGCUAAAGCUGUCAAGAUCCCCAGGAAGGUCACCAUGCCCAUGUCUGAAUGUGGUUUGUGGAGAUUAAUGGAAGGAGGAUGCACACGUCAGAGCCCUAGGGGGGCUCCCGUCAGGGCCCUAGUGGGGCUCUAGGUGAUCGCUGCUUCCCAACACCCAACACGGGUGCAAUGAGGUUGAGCAGUGUCUGCAAAAGAGAAACUAAACAGCUAAUUAUUCCUCCAGAAAGGUUUUUAAUGACUUAUGACUAUCAAGGCAACACAGACAGAAUAAGAAAAACAGAAUUAAAGACCAGCACUGAGGCUA